AUGAAGCCGCAUCCAUUGUCAUUCACUGUUCUCCCCAACGAACUCUUGGAAGAAAUAUUUUCCCUGCUCAUAGUAAAAUCUCUUAUGCGAUUCAUAUGCGUUAACAAAUCUUUCAAUACUCUCAUUUCCCAUACUUACUUCAUUCACAUGCAUCUCAAUAAAUCACAACGAAACCCUAACCUCGCACUGAUUUCGCAGCAAAAUUACAAUUUUCCAAUUAAGAUGCCAUAA